CGGAACGUGGCGGCGUGCCUAUACAUGCAAGUCGAGCGGACCUUUUAAAGCUUGCUUUUGAAAGGUCAGCGGCGGACGGGUGAGUAACACGUGGGCAACCUGCCUGUAAGACUGGGAUAACUUCGGGAAACCGGAGCUAAUACCGGAUAAUAUAAGGAACCUCCUGGUUCUUUAUUGAAAGAUGGUUUCGGCUAUCACUUACAGAUGGGCCCGCGGCGCAUUAGCUAGUUGGUGAGGUAACGGCUCACCAAGGCGACGAUGCGUAGCCGACCUGAGAGGGUGAUCGGCCACACUGGGACUGAGACACGGCCCAGACUCCUACGGGAGGCAGCAGUAGGGAAUCUUCCACAAUGGACGAAAGUCUGAUGGAGCAACGCCGCGUGAGCGAUGAAGGCCUUCGGGUCGUAAAGCUCUGUUGUUAGGGAAGAACAAGUGCGAGAGUAACUGCUCGCACCUUGACGGUACCUAACCAGAAAGCCACGGCUAACUACGUGCCAGCAGCCGCGGUAAU
rnacentral:rRNA from 1 species